GACGAACCGUGCGAACGUUGUUCGGAAUCACUGGGCUUAAAGGGCGCGUAGGCGGGCUAUCAAGUCCGGGGUGAAAUCCUCCAGCUUAACUGGAGAAUGGCCUCGGAUACUGAUGGUCUCGAGGAGGAUAGGGGCACACGGAACUGUGGGUGGAGCGGUGAAAUGCGUUGAUAUCCAUAGGAACUCCGGUGGCGAAAGCGGUGUGCUGGAUCCUUUCUGACGCUGAGGCGCGAAAGCUAGGGGAGCAAACGGG
rnacentral:rRNA from 1 species